UUAGGUAAACUAGAAAAAUGCUCAGAGUUGUGGCAACUGACAUUUAAUGUGGAUAAGUGCAAGAUAAUGCAUCUUGGAUGUAAAAACCCAAGGGCAGAGUACAGAAUAUUUGAUAGAGUCCUAACCUCAACAUCUGAGGAAAGGGAUUUAGGGGUGAUUAUUUCUGAUGACUUAAAGGUUGGCAGACAAUGUAAUAGAGCAGCAGGAAAUGCUAGCAGAAUG